rnacentral:rRNA from 1 species
AUGAAUUGCCUCAGUUGGAACUGCCAGGGAGGGGGGAACACCCGGACAGUUCGUGAGUUAGCGAUGCUUUGUAAGUCGUGUUCCCCCAUGCUUGUUUUUCUGUGUGAAACUAGACAGAAGGAGGAGAAGAUGAAGAGGAUCCGAGCCAAAUUGGGUCUUAAGGGUUUUUGUGGUGUGGACAGUAAUGGUAUGAGUGGAGGUUUGGCGUUAUAUUGGAGGGAAGAUUAU